rfam:Xanthomonas oryzae pv. oryzae KACC10331, complete genome.
GGGUCCCCCACGGACGCGCCGGUUCCUGCGCGCCAGCCAAACCUGCCUGCCGACUGCUCGCUACGUGUUGUUGGCC